AGUCGAGUUUAUAUAGGGAAAUAGAGGACCUCCUAAAUUUACGAUAAUUUUACUAGGUCCUGUGUUUUUAUUUUAUGACGAAUAUACCAUGACUCGUUUAUUAGAAUACGACGAUCUUACGACGAAUUUAGCAGGUCCCGCGUUUCCAGAAUACGACGACGUUGGGAGAAAUUUGAGUUAUGAUGAAUUUACCAUGUCUCACGCUUCUAGUCUACGAUGACGUUGUGACAAAGCUGUUAUCACAAAAUUACCAGAUCUCGUGUUUCUGAAUUACGAUGACCCUACGAGCACUGUAUCUGAAUCCCUAAACCCCAAUUCCAUUAAUAUUAUCCCCUAAACCCAAAUUUUCCUUAAACCCUAAAUUCUGAGUGCCUUAUCCUGUUAACAUGAUUUCUUGAAUCCUUAAAUUUCGAGAACAUGUAUCAUAAUCAAACAAACACACAUGAAUUAAAUCUGAAAUUUAUAUAUAUAUGAAAGCAAAAUGUUUGAGCAUAUUACAUCAUUCGGAUUCAUCAUUCGAGUUAUCAUCAUCAUUACACUGAUCAUUACUUUCAUCAAACUCGUCAUCACAUGCUUCAUCUGUCAUUUAUUCAGAAUUAUCUUUAUAUUCACGGUUAUGCGGUUCAAUAAGAAGGACGUAAUCAGUUUCUUAUUCAGGUACCUCUACUUCAUUGAUACACAAUUCUUUUAGUAAAGGUGUUUCUUCUCCGCCGACUAUUCGAUCACGAUGUGUAACUUUGAUAUGAGAUAACCAAGUUAUUCCAGAAUCUUUGAUCCAAAGGUACGGAAUGAAGCUAAUUUGUCUGUUUGUGAAGCUAAUAUGAAAAUCUUGAAUAUGUUGUAUCUUCGUCCAAAAUUGACAUCAACAACACCAAAAUUUUUAAACCGAACACCUUCGUUGAUGAGAGGGCCAAACCAUUCAAAUUUGAAGAGGACGCAUUUAAUCUUCUCCAACCCAAAAAUUCUGUAAGAUCCAGUAGAAAUCUGUUUUAUCUUUCGCACAUAUUUCGUAAUUACUUGUGGCCUGACAUAUUCCAUACCCGUAUGCAUGAAAAGUAAAUCCUCGUAUGAAAUAUAUAGGUGAUGUGGUGAUCCUUGCAACCAGACCUUGAACAAGUUCAUGAAACCAUUGAGAUUAAUAUGGAUCGGCAUUAUCAAACUAAAAAAUAAACAUAACAUUAAAAUUAAUAUUAUACUAAACUAGUAUCAUGUAUUUACUAUAUAUGAAAAAAAUCAAAAACAUAAACAGUAGAGAGUAAUAUAAUCAUGAAUGUAUAAAUAUUAGAAUGAAAUAUCUUUAUAAAAUUUUACCAUAUAUGGAUGCCUUUUUAUUAGAAAUAUAUUGAAAAUGUAAAAAAUACUAACAUACCACUCUACAUCCUGUUGCACACAAACCUCUUCAAACAACAAAAGAGGUGCUUAUGGCCGCCAUUCUCAUCUUGCAAACCAAAUGAGUUUAGUGCCACUGCCUCUAUUCGACACAUAAUUACCACAAAACUUUAACGGGAGCGUCUCGUACCAUAUAUUUGUGCCACUUCAAGAACCAACGAACGAAGCUUUAAAUAACAUACAUUCAUCAGAGGAAAUAUUGAGAAGCCACACCAGAUAUCUUGGAAGGAUUACAAGGUGAAACAAUAAAACAGCCCGGACAGUUUUGUGACUAUCGUCAUAGUGAAUCCAUGUUGAAGGCAAGACUGGAAGAUACUCUUACUGCACCACAUGAGCUAACCACGAGAAAUGAAUCAAGAAACAAACCCAAAGUCUUCUGACAAGAUCAAACCAAGAGGCACAACGAAAAAGCCACAAAUCUACAUCAUAGGCGCCAGAGACCAGUCUCAUAGGACUCUAGAGACACACCAUUGAUGAAAUGUAAGAUAUGAUGAAUAUAAUUCCAUAGUUUUUUUAGAUAGAUUUUAUAUUUACUUAAAAAACUCAAAUUAAUGUAUAAUUUCGUAUAAAACAUUGAUUAGUCCUACUACUAACAAAUGUAUCACAAUUAAUAAUAUCAUCAUGUUUAGACAACGACUUUUUCGUCAUUGGUGAUAGAGUCUGGGCAACAAAUAUAUUCGACCUUUCGCAUUUUACUUAUCUCACCGAUAAUUGGAUAGCUCUCAGAGGACUCUAGAGACACACCAUUGAUGAAAUAUAAGAUAUGAUGAAUAUAGUUCCAUAGUUUUUUAGAUAGAUUUUAGAUUUACUUAAAAAAACUCAAAUUAAUGUAUAAUUUUGUAUAAAACAUUGAUUAGUCCUACUACUAACAAAUGUAUCACAAUUAAUAAUAUCAUCAUGUUUAGACAAAAACUUUUUCGUCAAUGGUGAUACAGUCCGUGCAACAAAUACUUUCGAUCUUUCGCAUUUCACUUAUCUCCCUUGUGCUCCUAUCAAACAGGAAAUUGUAUCACCGAUAAUUGGAUAGCUCUCAGAGGACUCUAGAGACACACCAUUGAUGAAAUGUAAGAUAUGAUGAAUAUAACUCCAUAGUACUUUUAGAUAGAUUUUAGAUUUACUUAAAAACUCAAAUUAAUGUAUAAUUUUGUAUAAAACAUUGAUUAGUCCUACUAUUAACAAAUGUAUCACAAUUAAUAAUAUCAUCAUGUUUAGACAACAACUUUUUCGUCAUUGGUGAUAGAGUCCAGGCAACAACUACUUUCGACCUUUCGCAUUUCACUUAUCUACCUUGUGCUCCUAUCAAACGGGACAUUGUAUCUCUGGUAAUUGGAUAGCUCUCAUACUUAAUAUGCAUUCAACCAAAAUAUGAUCAAAUUAGAAUAAUCUUUAAAGUUGUUAUAAGCAAAUUUCAUCUCUCUUUUUAUUUAUUAUUUCAUUUGAUAUUUCAGAUAGAUGUUAUGGAGUUAAAAAAUUCAUCUGCAUUUUUGUUUAACUAAGUAAGAAAUUUUAGUUUCACUGCAAUCCUUCUUAAAUGUUUAAAAUAAAAUUAGAUAUGGCAUAAAUCUCUUCUUUAUAUGAAGAGAGAAAAAGAGAGUAGAGCAAGAGAGAGAGAGAGAGAGAGAGAGAGAGAGAGAGAGAGAGAGAGAGAGAGAGAGAGAGAGAGAGAGAGAGAGAGAGAGAGAGAGAGAGAAUAGUUUACGUCCGUUGAUUUCUGAAGCCCGUUGUCGUACACUAUCUUUACCCACUUCCCUUGUAGUGUCACCAGCGUUCGCUUACUGGAACCGUGUGACCCAUCAAACCCACCUGACCUUACCUUAAUUUUGAUCAUCCUUUUAACCACUGUUUUCUACCUUAUCUUUAUUUCCACCUGUUCAGAUCUAGAUCUAAAAUUUGAAGAUUGUUACCUAAAAUUUUCAGCGGUCUUCAAGGAAUAUGUUCGAUGAAUCUCAUUGUCGUUAUUAUGAAAUGCCUUACUGCAGUAUGCAUAUCUUUUCUCACCAUCUCUUGGAAUCUUGGUAGUGGAUCACGAACCUCCCACUAUUAUGUACUUCAUCAUUUCAAACCACUUCAUGCUGUUUUCAAACAAUGCCGUCUCACACUGCUGUCGAUCAGCUCCUUACGCCGCCAUCUCAUGCCGCUGUUGAUAACUGCCCCACAUCGUCAUGAUAAGAGAACUUAGAGCUUGCCUCGCUCUCACUUUCACCAUCUUUGCAACCACCAGAACUGUAAUAACUCUGAAUAAUAAUAAGGACCUGAUGAAGCCAAAGAAUAGCUGAACGGAAAAUGGUCGAUAUAUGACCAUGAAAAUGGCCGAAUAAAGAAAUUCGAGCCAAGACAGUUUUGAUGAACGAUUUAGGUUCUAAUAAGUAAAUUAAAGAUGAAUAAAGCAUUAGAGUGUCAUUGGCAUAAAAAAAUAGUACAUAAAAUUGAAUGGCUGUAUCAAUGUUUAAACUCUUGGGAAAUUCAUGAAGCACCGGAAAGCCAAAAAUAGAAAGGGAAGUGUUCAAAAAUGAAAAGUCAAAGUCCAAAGGACAAAUAACUUAGAAAGUAGUUGUGGUCGGAGUACAAGUUGAAUUGGUUCCAGUAUUAGUUGCAUUGGUCAGGAAAUAACUUCUCUGAUGGUUUGGAAAAUAUUGCAGAACACUAUAAUGGAAAUACCACAAGUGAUGUUGAGAGAAUAUAUUUACGAAAUCCCCAUGAAUAGGUUAAAACCUUAUUCCAUGGCAUUUACAUGGGAUUUCUCUUUCUUAUUCUUAAGCAAGUCCCCGAGAGAAAUUUGUUGAUCCAUGAUUUAUGUUUCGUCUUUUCUUUCCUUUUCGUUUGUUUCGAGAAAGAGAUCGAUCAAUUUAUUUUUUUUCUUUUUCUAUUAAAGCAAACAAAAAAUCUAAUCUCAAAUUAAUAUUCGAUAAAAUUCUGAUUUCUUGUGUAGGCGCCAAGCCCAAUCCAAGUAAAGAACUAGUGCCUAACGAGAUCUUGAACAUGGCUUAAAAAAAUAUUUCUUAAAAAAAUCAAAUUUUUUUUUGGAAAGCUUGUUUUUUAACAAAAAAAUAUUCUAAAUCUAGCUAGACUACAAAUCCUAGAACCACUUUAAUAGAACUGAAUCAACAUAAACUGUAGCUAAAUGCAGACUCCGAUCACCUCGUGCAAGUUUGUCGGUGAUUGUAUUUUUUGCCUUUGGAAUAUGUUAGAUAACAAAGUUGUGGAAGAAAUCUUCACAUCGUAGAAAUUCAUCUAAUGAAAGCAGAUCAUUACGUCAGUGUAGACACUAUGUUUACCAAUUGCGAAUGUUGCGAACACCAUGUAACAUCAUCUGCAUAGCGAACUUUGAAAAGUAAACAAGGGAAAAAGUCGUAUCUUAUCGCGACAAGUGGAAAUUUCGUGAGAAGUGUAGUUUGAAAACCUCACCAACCACGUUCAAUUUCUUCAUAGUGGAGUUUGAAAACCCUAUCAACCGCGUUCAAUUUACUUUAAAUACUACAUAGCUUCAACUCAUCAUUAUGCAUCGAUAUAUAAAAGCUUAUUUCUGUAAGUCACCUCUAUAGACUCUUUUUUUUUGAUCAAAAAGUCACCUCUAUAGUCACCUCUAUAGACUAUAGUUAUCUUUUUGGGGGUUAGUUCUCGAUCGUUACUAUUAAUUUAUUUAUUUGAAAGAAGAAGAGCGCAAUGGCGAUGAAGACAUCACAUGCUCCUCUGUUUCGUCUUCUUUUUUUGCUAUUAUCUGUGGUUGGUCUUGUAGGAGCUUCAGGUCCGUACAUACAUACACCACCAUCAGGAUCAUGCAGAGGUGGCAUUGCCAAACAAGAUUCAUCAGAAGUAUUAGCGAGGAGAUCUCCACCAUGUAGACGUCCUCGCCUCCAAAACCCAUAAUACACUAGCCACGCUACAGUCCCUUGAAAUAUAGGACCAAUACUCGAACUGUUUUUUUUUUUUUUUGUAUACACUGGCCACGCUAGAGUCCCUUGAACUGUAUUUAAUAAUGAUUUAUGAAUUGUUUAAGUGAUAUAUGGAGUUGAGUGACUUCAAUUAUAUCUUUUGUUUUAGAAAUAUUUAUCCUAUAAAGGCAUCUCCAACCCACAACUUCAUUUUAGCGUGAAAACCACACCAUUUUAGUAUAAUUUUAGCAAUAAAAGUUUUUCUUCUCCAACCACAACACCAAAUUUUACACUAAAACGAUUUUUUGAUUUUUUAUAUUGUUGAGUUAGAAUUUUUAUUAUUACUUAAUAUAUAGAAUAAUAACAUUAUUAUGUAACUAUAUUCACAAAAUAUAUCACACUACAACCUCUAUUUUUAAAAUAAGUAUUUUACUAUUUUAAUACAUAAUAAUAGUAAAUAAUAAAUUAAAUAACAAUAAAUGAUUAUUUUAUUAUUAUAUUUUAUUAUUUAUCUUGUCACUUACAUUUAUUUAACUAAUAUUUUUAAUGAAAAUAAAUAAAUAAUUAUUUAUUAUUUUAUAUACACUUACAUUUUAAAAUUAUCUUAUUUAAUUCAUUUUUACUGUUUUAAUUUUAAUGUUAUAAUUUAAUUUUUCAUUGUUUAAAUUAAACUUUCUUGUGUUUUUUAAAAUUAACUUUAUAUUGGUUCUCAAAUAAAUGAAUAUUUGAUAUUAAAUAAACUUAAAUGAUAACACAAUGGUAUAUGCAUUGUUAUUUAGAAUAUCUAAUCCAAUUGCAAAACAGUAAUAUAAAUCAAAUGUAAAUAAAUAUGUUUAGAAACUAGAUAAAAAGUUUUGAAAAGAAAAAUAGUUUUUCCGUUGCUACAGUGUAACACUAAAUAUAGUGUAACAUUAUGGCUGAAAAGAGAAUCCCACCAAAAUGAAGUUCUUUAUGCCAUGUGGUUGAAGAGAUGAGACAUAAAAUCUUACACUAUUUUGGCGUUAUGACGUCUGGUUGGACUUGGCCUGAGACACAUUCUCACUUUGAAAUACACUUCAAGACACUCCACACACUCUGUCUAAGUAAUUUGUCAUUUCUACCCUUAGCUACAUCUUAACACUUAUUAACUAAUCUCAACUAAUUGUACUGUCCACACAUUCAAACAAAAAUAAAAGACAAUUAAAAAUACAAACAUGUCUCUUUAUUCUCUCUCAUAUCCCCACUUUCAAUUCCAAAUUCACUUUUUAAGACUCUUCACUUUUUCCUGCUCUUACCUUAGUUGUUAACCCUAUUUUCUCCAUCUUCAUCAAUUUGUAAAAAACCAUGAAUCCAAAAGAGACGCAAAUUCUCUGAUUUUACGAUUAUCAUGUGGAGCAGAAAAUGUGACGGCAAGCAGGUUCGAGCUUGUGGUGUAGAAGAGGACAACGGCAGGCUGUGGUGUUUUCUGAUUGGAGUAAAGAUGUGGUUUGUAUCAGAUUUUAGUGAACUUCUAGAAGAUUAUAGUCUUAAGGUAGUAAAGCUUUGGUUUACAUAAUAUUUUAGAAGAUCUCGGAUAUGAGGGAUUGCUAGAUACGGACAUGGACAUCAAAAUGUGGAUAAUGGAAUUACAGAUUAAUGGUUUAUCUCAUGCAAACGGCUCUGUUCUUGAAACCUCUGGCGCCAGUGAACCAGAAAAUUUAUCACAGACACAUUCAGUUCUCUUAUACAUGUUGCAUUUCAACAAAUUUAGUUAUCCAACUUGAUGUAUUCACAAUUCAUUUGUCCACGCUUUAGUGUCCAUGUCCACAAUUAAUCUAUAACUCUAUUAUCCACAUUUUGAUAUCUGUGUCCACAUAUUUUAUGUAUAUAUGUUAAUAUAUAUAUAUAUAUAUAUAAUAUAUGUCAAGAUGGAUGUUAAAAGAUAAAUAAUUUUAUAUAAUUCAAUGGGACAAUUAUUUUUAUUUAAUAUAUUUUAGAACUUGAUAUAAAAGUUAAUUAAAACAAAAAGUAGAAUAAGAAAAAAAUAAUACUACAUGCAACGGCUGUGAAUGACAUGCUUUUUUAUAAAUCUAACUAAAAAGCUUUGUAAAUCUGGUCCCUACUAACUAAACAUAACAAAACCCAACAAUUUUGCCGUGUCUCAUUUCGUGAAGCAAAGGGUAUUUAUGUCCGAAAAUUGUUUUGCUAACCGAGAAUGUGCCCCUCCAACAAUAUGUUUCUUAGGCUGUAAAAAAGAAACAUAUUAUAUAAAAGCAUGUCAUAGGUGAUAACACACUCUCUUUUUUUUUAUCGGAUGUCCUUGAGGAGGCAACUUCAAUUAUAUAUUUAUCGACAUUACAUGGAAACUUCCAAAUAAUAAUUUUCUUUUAAAAUAUAUAAUUUUAUUGAAUUAUUAUGUAUUAUCAAUUUCUUGUCAAAUCUAUUAACCAUGAUUCUUAAUUUUGAAAAGUCACUUUGCCUUUAACUAUCUUUUGUUUUAAAAGGAUAUGGAUUUAAAAACUCUCCCAAGAAGAAAUAAUAACAAUGAACAAAAUAAAACACACAAUAUAAAAUAGAAUGGAAUAUAAAUAUCAAAGAAAGGAAAGGAUGAAACAUAAAUCUGAAAAGAUGCAACAUGAAACUAAGCAAAACAAAACCGGAAACGUUACCAAAUAUCAAAAAUUAUAAUGCGAAGUCCAAAUCUGUUUUUUUCUCACGUGUCCAAAUCUGUUAAAAAAUAAAUCCAAUCACAAUUGGAAUUCACAGUCAAAAUUAGAAAAGAAAUAUAUAUAUAUAUAUAUAUAUAAUAUAUAUAUUCCAAUUGUGAUUGUAUUUUAUUUUUCUGCACUAUGUACAGAAAUAAAAGUUUUUAUGCAUCAUGUGCAGAAAUAAAACUUUUAAAAUUUAAAUUAUAUAUUUUUUAAAAAAUAUGUUAAAUUUUAGAUUUUAUUAUUUUCUUACAUUAUUUAAUUUUAAAUUUUAAUUUAAUUAUAUGUAAAAUUAAGAUGAUCUAAAUACUUUUUAUUAUUAUUUAUAUUUAAUAAUAUAUAUGUAUAUAUUUUAAAAUUAUAAUCUUGGAAAUAUUUUUAUCUAUUUCUUUUAAUUUGGUUAAAAUAUAUUAAAUCAAAUUAUACAAGAUUAAGAGAAAAUUUUGUUAGGUAUAUAACUAACAAAAUGUAAAAUAAAUAAAAUUUCUAAAAAUUGUAGAUAUUAAAAAGAAAGUAAUGGUAUGUGGAUUAGAAAAUUGAUUUUUUUUAAAAAAUUCAUAAAAGUUUGAAGAAUUGUUUUAGUAAUAAAAUAUAUAAUUAUAAAAAUAAAAUGAAAUAAUAUUUUGAAAAUUAUAAAAUACUAUUAUGUUUAUAUUUUAACUAUUAUAUUAUUUAUUAUUAUAUUAAUGAUGAUCUAUGAUUGAUUAUCAUAUUUUAAAAAAACUUAUCAAAAAUAUAAAUCAACAAUAAUGUAAAUGUUCAUGUCACAAUUAGCUUCAACUCAUGUCAUCAUUGUUAGUGUAUCAUGUCACUAUUUUUCUUUGAAAAUCAUUGUGGCAAUGACAUAUAAUAAAUCACUUUUCAAAUAAUGUCCAAGAGAUUGAGAUAUAAGCAUUUAAGUAUACGAUUCAGAUUACUGUAUCAAGCAACUUAACAGGGUCAGGUUGGUUAUUACAAAUUGAAAUUAUGCAUUAAAUAAUUAUGUUCAAAUUGUUAAGAAUAUUUUGAAACUAGGCUUUCGUUAGUCACAACAUAUUUCUUACCAAACAUUAAUUCAAGCAGCAUAUUAAUUAUCUUCAAGGUUUAAAAUUCCUUAGAAAUCAGAUUACUAAUUAGCUACUCUUUAUAAAUCAGAUUACUAAUUAUCAUUGAAGAUGCUAUUGUGGUGAUUGAAAGUCCACAACUUAACAAGUAAACUACUCAUACUAAAGGUAAAUGAACAGAGUUUCAUCUAGCCACCAAAAAUUCAAGCAUCUUAUCAAGAGAGUAAUAUCAUAUUAUAUCUGUGUGCGAGAUGCAAAAAAAAAAAAACACGCAACAUGAUGUAAAAGUUGUGUCAAGACAUCUUUUCUCGAACAGAUUAAAAAAAUUACUAUAUAUUAUCGAAUCAUGGAUAAUUUUUUUUUAUCUUGGUGAAGUUUGGAACCAAAUAAUU